rnacentral:pre_miRNA from 1 species
AAUAGGAGAAAUGACAAAUUAGAUUUUUCCUAUCAUUUUCAAUCUUCUCCUCCUAAAAAAAUUCAAAUCCAACUAAAAAUGUUAAAAACUAGGAGAAAAAAAUCUAAUUUGUCAUUCUCCUAUU